rnacentral:tRNA from 1 species
UAAAUAGAUAGAGGAUCAGAUUAUGACUCUGAAAAUUGAGGGUUCGAUUCCUUUUACG